rnacentral:lncRNA from 1 species
CCCACAGGAGCAGCUUUGUGCUGCCCUGCAUUCCCACAGGAGCAGCUUUUUACUCCCUGCAUUCCCACAGGAGCAGCUUUGUGCCCCCUGCAUUCCCAGAGGAGCAGCUUUGUGCUGCCCUGCAUUGCCAGAGGAGCAGCUUUGUGCUCCCUGCAUUCCCAGAGGAGCAGCUUUGUGCUCCCUGCACUCCCAGAGGAGCAGCUUUGUGCUGCCCUGCAUUCCCACAGGAGCAGCUUUGUGCUGCCCUGCAUUCCCAGAGGAGCAGCUUUGUGCUCCCUGCAUUCCCAGAGGAGCAGCCUUUGCCCCCUGCAUUGCCAGAGGAGCAGCUUUGUGCCCCCUGCAUUGCCAGAGGAGCAGCUUUGUGCUCCCUGCACUCCCAGAGGAGCAGCUUUGUGCUGCCCUGCAUUCCCAGAGGAGCAGCUUUGUGCCCCCUGCAUUCCCACAGGAGCAGCUUUGUGCUGCCCUGCACUGCCACAGGAGCAGCUUUGUGCCCCCUGCACUGCCAGAGGAGCAGCUCUGUGCCCCCUGCAUUGCCAGAGGAGCAGCUUUGUGCUCCCUGCAUUCCCAGAGGAGCAGCUUUGUGCUGCCUGCAUUCCCAGAGGAGCAGCUUUGUGCCCCCUGCAUUCCAGAGGAGCAGCUUUGUGCUGCCCUGCACUCCCACAGGAGCAGCUUUGUGCCCCCUGCAUUGCCAGAGGAGCAGCUUUGUGCUCCCUGCACUCCCACAGGAGCAGCUUUGUGCCCCCUGCAUUGCCAGAGGAGCAGCUUUGUGCCCCCUGCAUUGCCAGAGGAGCAGCUUUGUGCCCCCUGCAUGGCCAGAGGAGCAGCUUUGUGCCCCCUGCAUGGCCAGGGGAGCAGCUUUGUGCCCCCUGCAUGGCCAGAGGAGCAGCUUUGUGCCCCCUGCACUGCCAGAGGAGCAGCUUUGUGCCCCCUGCACUCCCAGAGGAGCAGCUUUGUGCUGCCCUGCAUUCCCAGAGGAGCAGCUUUGUGCCCCCUGCAUUCCCACAGGAGCCCAGG